GACGAACGCUGGCGGCGUGCUUAACACAUGCAAGUCGAACGGAAAGGCCCUGCUUGCAGGGUACUCGAGUGGCGAACGGGUGAGUAACACGUGGGUGAUCUGCCCUGCACUUCGGGAUAAGCCUGGGAAACUGGGUCUAAUACCGGAUAGGAGCCAUUUUUAGUGUGAUGGUUGGAAAGUUUUUUUCGGUGUAGGAUGAGCUCGCGGCCUAUCAGCUUGUUGGUGGGGUAAUGGCCUACCAAGGCGGCGACGGGUAGCCGGCCUGAGAGGGUGGACGGCCACAUUGGGACUGAGAUACGGCCCAGACUCCUACGGGAGGCAGCAGUGGGGAAUAUUGCACAAUGGGCGCAAGCCUGAUGCAGCGACGCCGCGUGGGGGAUGACGGCCUUCGGGUUGGAAACUCCGUUCGCUAGGGACGAAGCUUUUUGUGACGGUACCUAGAGAAGAAGCACCGGCUAACUACGUG
rnacentral:rRNA from 1 species